UGUAUGUAAAAAGUACAGAAACACGAGAGAAAUAUGGUUCUAUAAUAUAAACUAAAGUGAGGCUAAUAAGACAAAAAUAUGGCUGUUAAUUGCCAAAGUAAAGAGCAGUCCUGGAAGCAGAUCUGGUUCUGCACAAAUUUCUGUAUUUAAGUUCAUGUGGAAUCAUGGAAUCGUGGAAUCAUGGAUCACCCAGAGUUCGAAGUAAGCACAGAAUAAGAAAGGAAUUCUUAGUUUUUCGAUAUCCAGCUCUGUGGGAACAUACGAUUAAACGAAAUCGAAUGAUGUGAACAUUGCAAUCUGCCACUGACAUUACAAUCACAUCUAAGAUGGGCCCAUUUUAGGAAAUAUGUUUGAAAGAAAGUUUUGUAAAUAGAGGAGAGCUUAAAUUUUAAUAUUACAACAUGUAAUUAUUACUGGAUGUAAAACAAAACUUAUAAACAUAAAGAGAAACUGA